rnacentral:rRNA from 1 species
AGGGUUUGAUUAUGGCUCAGGACGAACGCUGGCGGCGUGCCUAACACAUGCAAGUCGAACGGAGUUGAAAGGAGCUUGCUUUUUUCAACUCAGUGGCGGACGGGUGAGUAACGCGUGAGUAACCUGCCUUUCAGAGGGGGAUAACGUUCUGAAAAGAACGCUAAUACCGCAUAAGAUUGUAGUUUCGCAUGGAGCAGCAAUCAAAGGAGCAAUCCGCUGAAAGAUGGACUCGCGUCCGAUUAGAUAGUUGGCGGGGUAACGGCCCACCAAGUCGACGAUCGGUAGCCGGACUGAGAGGUUGAUCGGCCACAUUGGGACUGAGACACGGCCCAG